UGGGGCAGCCAGGUGCCCCUUACUGGCAUCUAUGGCCACAGGACACUGAUCCUGGAAGCUAAGCAAGGUUGGGCUUAGCCAGUACCUGGAAGGGAGACUGCCUGGGAAUACCAGGUGCUGUGGGAU
rnacentral:rRNA from 1 species